rfam:Marchantia polymorpha subsp. polymorpha scaffold3017, whole genome shotgun sequence.
GAGAGCCGUAUGCGAGGAAAUCUUGCACGUACGGUUCGGAGGGAGGCCACCCAAGCAUAAAAAAUAUUUUUUUCCCCUAC